rnacentral:rRNA from 1 species
GGGGAAUUUUGCGCAAUGGGGGCAACCCUGACGGAGCAAUACCGCGUGGGGGAGGAAGGCCCUUGGGUUGUAAACCCCUUUUGUCAGGGAAGAAGCUCUGACGGUACCUGACGAAUCAGCCUCGGCUAACUCCGUGNNAGCAGCCGCGGUAAGACGGAGGAGGCAAGCGUUAUCCGGAAUUAUUGGGCGUAAAGCGUCCGUAGGUGGCCCUUCAAGUCUGCUGUUAAAGCCCAGGGCUCAACCCUGGAGAAGCAGUGGAAACUGGCGGGCUAGAGUGCGGUAGGGGUAGAGGGAAUUCCCGGUGUAGUGGUGAAAUGCGUAGAGAUCGGGAAGAACACCAGUGGCGAAAGCGCUCUGCUGGACCGCAACUGACACUGAGGGACGAAAGCUAGGGGAGCGAAUGGGAUUAGAUACCCCAGUAGUC